UUGGCGUGCGGAGCUGGCACUUUGGCGCUGUUGGCGACGGUGGGGAGAGCUGUAGAGUGUGAAGUUCCUUGUCUGCUGGCAGCCAGAGGCGACGAGUCUGGACCUCAUGGAAGUCCAGACUCUAGUCUGGACGCGUCCCUUUUGACGGCGUUUCGCUCUUAUCACCCAGGCUGCAGUGCAAUGGCACGAUCUCGGCUGACUGCAACCUCUACCUCCUGGGUUCAAGCGAUUCUCCUGCCUCAGACUCCUGACUAGCUGGGACUACAGGAAGGAUGUCGAUUCUGCGCUUCUCAGUAACUACGUGAGACUAGAUUUUGCUGUGUUGCUUCAGGCUGGUUUCAAACUCCUGGCUCAAGUGAUCUUCCUGCCUUGGCCUCCCAUAGUGCUGGGAUUACAGACGUGAAAAUACAUAUCAAAAACACUGUGCAGGCACCAGAGUCCUGAGAUUGUCAGAGAAUUUCUCACAGCAAUGAAAAGCCACAAGUUGACCAAAGUUGGGGCUUUCCCAUGUGCCAAGACUGGUCUCGAAAUACUGGACUCAAGCAAUCCCCCCACCUUGACCUCCCAAAGUGCUGGGAUUACAGGCCGAGCUAUGACACCCAGCCUUCA
rnacentral:lncRNA from 1 species